rnacentral:rRNA from 1 species
UACGUAGGGUGCGAGCGUUAAUCGGAAUUACUGGGCGUAAAGCGUGCGCAGGCGGUUUUGUAAGCCAGAUGUGAAAUCCCCGAGCUUAACUUGGGAACUGCAUUUGGGACUGCAAGGCUAGAGUACGGCAGAGGGGGGUAGAAUUCCUGGUGUAGCAGUGAAAUGCGUAGAUAUCAGGAGGAAUACCGAUGGCGAAGGCAGCCCCCUGGGAUAACACUGACGCUCAUGCACGAAAGCGUGGGGAGCAAACAGG